AACGCACAUUGCGCCCCUUGGUAUUCCAUGGGGCAUGCCUGUUCGAGCGUCAUUUGUACCCUCAAGCUUUGCUUGGUGAUGGGUGUUUGUUCCGCUGCAACGCGUGAACUCGCCUCAAAUCAAUUGGCAGCCGGCAAUCUGGUGUUUGAGCGCAGCACAUUUUGCGCUCUUCGCUGUGUAUUGCGGGCGUCCAUGAAGCCUAUAUUUUCACGCUUGACCUCGGAUCAGGUAGGGAUACCCGCUGAACUUAA
rnacentral:misc_RNA from 2 species